AACGGCCCGACAGAGGGCCAAGCAGCUCCUGAAAUCCAAAGAGAACUUGAUCAGUAAUUUUGUUAUUGAGGAUACCAUAAAAUCUAAAGACGUGUGCGGUUCCGAACAUCUGCCAGAAGUCGAGAUCUUCAGUCUCCUCGAAGAACAGAUCCCGAGAUACAAAUUGAGAUCGGACGCUCUCACCGAAUUCGCCGGAUACGAAAAUCAGGACUGGUUCAUACCCAGUCCAGCGCUUCCACCUAGUGACGCUCACGAGAAACUAUCGCCUGAUCAGAUCAGGGAGACCCUGAAUUAUUUCGGUGAGUCUUUUUUUUUAAUUACAAA